rnacentral:rRNA from 1 species
UACGGGGGGGGCAAGCGUUGUUCGGAAUUACUGGGCGUAAAGGGCUCGUAGGCGGCCAACUAAGUCAGACGUGAAAUCCCUCGGCUUAACCGGGGAACUGCGUCUGAUACUGGAUGGCUUGAAUCCGGGGGAGGGAUGCGGAAUUCCAGGUGUAGCGGUGAAAUGCGUAGAUAUCUGGAGGAACACCGAUUGCGAAGGCAGCUCGCUGGAACGUUACUGACGCUGAGACGCGAAAGCGUGGGGAGCAAACAGG